CCUGCUUGUCAUUCCCCCUCGCCUCGGUCGGCCGCCGCUUUUGUUGGUCAUGUUGUCAGCUUCGUCUUUCUGGGUAAAGCUCGGUUUCUUCGUUCUGCGCCGCAUGCCGACUUCGACCACGAUGACCUCAUCAUCGCGCUGGUCCCCGCACGGCCCAGCGGCGGCCGCUUCUCGCGCCGGGAUGAGCGAUAGGAGAACCACCAACGCUCGAGUUCACGGGGCAGACGGUCCAGCUCUGCGACGACGGCCGUGCUCAUCACCGUAAUCGCAUCUUCAUCUCCAUCUCCGCCUCCGGCCUGGCUUGGUUCGAAUCGGAAUCCAUCUAUUCUCGCAAACAAUUUUGGUUAAAAUCUAAAACUGAUUCUCGAUUCGGUUCUUCAAUGCUUUUUUUCACGAGAUCGAUUCUCCCCCCCCCCAACUUUUGCAUCGAGUCUUAGGAGGAAGAUGCAGAGGAGAGCUAGGUCACGAGAAGAUAAACCAGGCAGCACCAUGGUGGCUCUCUCUAUGUCAUCUGCCUGUUCUCGGGUGAUUUCGGACCCUCAAACUCUAUGUCUUGCAGUAUUGGAUUGAUAUGGACAUCAAUGAUUAUCUACCCCAAAAGGAAAUCAUUCUCCUGUUGUCUUAGUUUUUUCUUCUGGUGUGUAUUUCCAGAUUUCUAAAGUACCGUCAUGGUGAGAGCCCAUAAGCAUCGCAUUCAGUUGUCUCUGCAACAUGUUUUCCAUGGAUGAUAGCAAAUUAUCGGUCUAAAUAGUUGGACAUGGAAUGUCCUUCCGCAUAUCAAAAUCUUUCAAAGGUAGAUUCUCGCAAUUUGUACCUGUGACAGAACUGAAAUUUAUUUCAGCCAUGGAUCCCCACCGAUUGCUAUGUACUUAGUCCAUCUAUAGGUUUUUUUUUUUUGUUUGUCCAUCUAUUGUUAUUAUUAAGCAUUCCACAUUUUCUCUCUCUAACAAUCCUUUCUGCAAUUGCAGAGGGUGACCCAGCUUGCACUAGGUGAUCAUCAUUUUCCUUAUAUCUUUGCUUAUAAAUUCCAGUCAUAAAAUUUGUAGUUAAUUUCCUUUUAGUUGAUUUGUUUCCCUUUGGUUGUUUCAUCGCCAUUAUAGCCUCUUUCUGCGAUAAUAUUUCCUUUCAUAUCGCUAGCAACCUGUAUCUAUAUAUGUUAACUUGAAAGGGAUUAUCGGUGAGGUCACUGAAUUGACCUCUCAGCUGCUGAUUUUAUCCUAUUGCCUACCACUGCUAGCUUAGCUCAGCUGUGACUCUUCUUCCUAAAUUUUCCUAUUACCUGAUAGUUGCAUAUAUUAUAGUUUAAUUGUACUUAGAUGGGUUGUAUGUUGUUUACAUUGUUGCCAUGUAAAUAUGUGAAUCAGACUUUUCCCUCUCAUGUGACUACUUAAUUUUGUUUUCUUUUUCACAUGGAUUAAUUUUAUGAGGUCAUUAAACUGAUUUUUUUGAUAUAGGAUAUAACUCUGCACCUACCAUUCUAGAAUUUUACAUCAGGUUAUGCUUUCUAUCAACUUCUAUUCACCAAAAGUUUUAUAUGGCAGUGCAAAUAGUUCAAUUCAGUGUAAAAAAUCUUUGUUAAAAUGGGAUAUGUGCUGGUUUUUUAUUCUUAUUAUUCCUUAUGCAUGUUUCCCUGAAUCAUUUCACCUGACUCCGUGGACUUCAAAUAGCUUUGCUGCAAAUAUCAAAUAUGUUCCAUGCAUCCGCAUAUUACUUGCAAAAAAAUGAUAUUACCUAUCAACUAUCAACUUGAUGCUGUUUUCAAACUUCCCAUGGCACUAUCUUCAAUUCAGCCAAAUGUAGGACAUUACCUACACUUUUCUUUGUUAGGUAUUUUUUUUGCCGUUAUUACUAAUUGGAAUGUAUACCUCAUUUUUAUGCUUUACUGCUCAAGAGCAGCACCCUCCUGUCGUAGCUUAAUCAGGCAAGGACAAGAACCCGCUCACGAACAAACAAACUUGAUUGCUUGCUCCAGCUCUGGACCUACACUGCCUAAGCUAGCAAGGAUCAUGUCUAUGAUAUCUUUGGAGGUUGGCAACCAAUCAUGUCCAAGCACUCUCCAAACAAAAACUGUUCCUAAAUAGAUAUCUUUCUGUUUCAUGUAUGUUCGCAGCACAAUUGCUUAUUAUGAUUUCAAGGCUGUAACCACAUCAAUUGUAUAUCGGCAGAACUAUCAUAUUUAUUGCGGCCUUCAUGUACUGUUGUGCUUGCAUGGUCAUACACUUUAUUA